GCCUGGGUGGCUCAGUCGGUUGAGCGGCUGACUUCAGCUCAGGUCAUGAUCUCGUGGUUCAUGGGUUCGAGCCCCACGUCAGGCU
rnacentral:tRNA from 1 species